GGCCUGAUGUCACAAGAACACCCUGGUUUGCUGCAUAGAACUCCAUUAUCUCAGUAAUAAUUUUGCAUUUCUACUUCAUUUCAGUGAAUGCCUGACGGUGCUAGCAGCCCCACCCCACCCCACCCCCCUUUUUUUAAACAGGGAAAUCCUUCUUCUAUGUUUAGGGCAAGAAAAUGUUAAAGAAGCAGAAGAACAAAAUGUUACGUCAUAUUAGAUUAAGAUUUGCUAAUCACUCAUAGUAAUACCGGAGCCUUUGAACUUGAUAGAAAGUAUGGCAGGCCUCCUCUAUCCCGGGUUCUAUCCAAAUAGGGACAAACAUAUAACCUAGGGCAACGAUUAAUCACAUCUACUUGACUGGAUCUGGGGAUCAGCUAAGAGACUAGCCGUUGGGCACAUCUGUGAGGGGUUUUCUUGAUCAGCUAAAUCGAAGGGGAAAGACACAAAUUCAAGCAUCUUGCUUCUCCCUCUGUUGCUGAUGCUGCCGUUCUUCACUGACAUCAGGACCCAGCUUCUCCAGCCUUCCACUGGUCAAUUGCCUGAAGGACAACGGCUCGAGGAUCCUCUAGACCUUCAGGAUCAGGCUGGGACUGCUGAGUCAUUCUGUCCCAGGGACUAAGCAGAUAACGGAUUCUCAGCUUCUCCCAGUGUGAAGGCAGUCACUGUUGGACCACCCAGGCCAUAUUAUGAAAGCCAAUUAAUAAAUCCUCUCUUAAGUAUG